AUGGCUGUAUUUAUUGAGGGGUGCAAGCACAGAACAAGGAACAUGGCUGGAGGUUUUACCUUGCUGGUUAUUCUCCUUGCUAUUCUAAUCUUUUCUCUUUGUUUGCCUCAAUAUUCUAAUUUUUUUAAAUUUUUCUUUUACUUAUUCUCAAGAUGUGUGUUACCACAAUAAGACACCAUGGGAUCUGGGGUUGGCUUGUGUCUUUUUGAGCUUGAAGGGACAUCUUAUUAUAGACAUACAAUUCAAUACUGUACAUAUUAGAAAACACUGAUCAUUCCUUUUCAAGUAAAAGAUAAUACCACUUCUAAGUUUAAAAAAAACCCCAACUAAAAGUAGCAAUAAAUGUUUGAUAGCCUGUAAAUGAUUUACAGACUUUUUUACUCCAGCACUCCACAAGUACAGUAUGUUUGUGUUUUUCACGUUGUUUAUUUUGUCUUUCUGAAGGGAUUGCACUUGCUAACCUCCCAAUUUUUGGGUUGUUUAUCCUUUAUGUGGCUGUGUCCUUCACAGUGCUGCCAUUUGCUAGUAUUUUGUGUCCUUCAACCCUCCUAGGAAGUUGUAGGUAGGAAUGCUCUAAAUCCUUUCGUACUUUCCUAUGGGGAAAGGAUGGCAAAGGAUCAGGUAAUGAUCUGGAAGUUAGCUGGGAUUCAGAAACAAAUACUAAACCUAAUAUAUCUACCUAUAUAUAUAUAUAAAAGAGAUUUUUUUGUCCUAAAAAAGAAGAAGAAAAAAAAAAGGAAAAAAAAGAAAAAAAAAGCAAUGAAAAUUUAUGACCUUAACAUUCCUUCAGGGUCAAGCAAUUUAUCAAAUUCUCUCACUUUCUGGUUUCAAUUACACAGCUAUUGUGGAAGGAACUUAUUUUAGCAGGUUCAUUUGCCUCAGUAGGGAAUACAGGACUUUGGCCUAAUGCUUCACCUUUAGUGCAGGCCAUUUGAGCCUUAGAACAAAUACCAAUCAUCACUCUUAGGGUAAAAAAAAAAAAAAGAAAAAGAAAAAAAAGGGUAAAAAAAUCUGCAUUGGUAUGGCCUAUUGGAAUGGGGUUUCUGUCAAGGUAAACGGUUGUCGGCAAUGACUGUGGUAGAGUGGCGAUAAAUCCCAUUUUAUUGCUGAAAAAUUCCAGCUUCUCUCCAUGCCUGACAGCUCCCCACAUUCUCGUACCCAUUUGGGCAAUUUCUGUACUAUGUCCAUCUGGUUCUUAUUACCUCUCAACCUGCCAGUGUCUGAUCCAGAAAAAGUGCAGGUCAAAAACAGGGGAAAGAAACCAAGGUGAUGGACAAAACAGAAAGAGAGUGAUUGAGAGACCAAGUCACGCUUCCUGUUCCUCCCUCCCCAGGCAAGAAAAUGUGGGUUUGAGUGGAAUAAACAAAUUCGAGAGAGGCUAGUAGCUCAAUUAUGAAGUUACUGUCAAUGUUCUUAAAAUACAAAAUUAAAUAAGUAUUAAUUCAUGUGCUCCAAGCUUUGGUAUUGCCACCAAAUAUUUGCCCAGGACACUGAUGGCAUUCUGGAGAAUUGGGAAAAGCCUAGACUUCAAAUCCUCAAAUCUAGGAGUUCUGGUGUGACCAUUUCAUCUGCAGCCUUUUUCACCAUGCCCUUGGCAUUAAGGAGGAUGAGACUUAUCUCCAAAGGUUCAUUUUGGGGUUGCAAAUUGUUUUAGAAAGGUAUCAAAAGUAAAAUUAAAUUGCAAUUUGAAAAAAAAAAAAAAACCAACAAAAAAAAACCAAUCCAAAGUAAAAGUUAGGCUAGCUUCUUGACAGAAAAAUGAAAAGAGGAAAGUCUUUAUUUCCCUGCAAGUUUUGUGCAUACUGCUGAACUCAGACCCAAGUUAGAACGUCCUCAAAACCCCCUCCAAUAAGUAGAGGGAAAUAUGAUAAUUUUUAAAAAUUAAAAAAAAUCAAACAAACUAGCCCACAACAACUGAACUCUCAGUAAGUCAAAACAAAAAGUGCUCCCAUGGGAGCACUUGCUCUCCUCCCAGCUAAAAUAUUUUGUGUGGCAUUUGUCAAGAACCCCCUAGUGCCCUCAGGAGACAUGCCCUGAUCCACUUCCAAUCUCUCCCUUCAAGGGACCCCAAAUAAUUAAAUUGCAAUUUCUGUACCUAUUCUACCUCAUUUCCCACCCAAAAUGCUGCUUGCUGUACUUUUUCUCCCCUGUAGAUCAUCACUAAUGUGGUCCCAUGUUAGCUUACACAGCCUCUUCCCACAUUCCCUAAGGACUCAAGGGAAAUUAAACCCGACUUUCUGGAGCUGAAAAAUCCUAAAAAUCCGACUGAAUUCUGAGCAGCAGAAAUUUCGGAGUGUGCCCUACCAUCUGCUUUGUGAUCCUUGGGGAGCAGGGCUCUUCAGCAUCCCACACUGGGUGUCUCGUAUACAACAGGAUUUACUGGCAGGUGUAAUGGUCUGAUCUGGCACCAAAGGGCUGGAAAUUGUGGGAGAUAUUGGGAAUUAUGUCCCCCAUGCCUUUGUACAAAACCUGUUGGCCCCCAGAAGCUCAAGAUGGGGCUCUGACAGUGAAACAAGACACAGGGGUAUGGUUUUCAGAGGAGCUGGAGGAAGAUGUUACUAUUGGACAAGGAGACAGGACAGAGAAUGAGUAGGAAGGAAAAGGUGUGGAGAAUUCAAAAUUUUGCUCCAGAAUGGGUGACCUAAAAACACCAUGUGCAAAGUGUGACAUCCAGCUCACCACCUGUCCUUGCAACUUCUCCCUGUGAUGCUGCUGCAAUCAUUUAAAUUGUGGGGGGCCGUGAUACAUGCCAGGAUAUCAGGAGUGUGAUUUGAGACACCUUGGCUUGAAGAACCCCUCAGCCACACUGCUUGAUUUGCCCGUGAAGCCAUCCAGCACAAAAGAGGCUGACACGAGGGAAAGCCCCAACUUGGACAAUAAAAAAUAUGUCAGCAUGAAAAUGGUUAAUGAUUGCAUUUUAAAUCAAAAUGCUCUCCAUGACUGACUGCUUUGCAGCACUAGGAAAGGCAGGUUUGCCUGCCACCGAGAGACGAUCGGUCGGGGCUGUUUUCUGAAGGAGCCUGCAGGUAAAGAGGCAUCCGUACAUCCACAAAGGAGGAUUCAUGAAGGCAAGGACGAGAAGAUAAAGCAACAGCCACCCGCACCCUGCCUUCCUCCUUGCAAAAUAUCAUGACCAAAAUCACCAGAAACCCGAGUCAGAGAGAGACCAACAGGUUGUUGCCACUUUUGGUGCCUUUGCUUCUGAGAAGUUGGGUAAAUGCUCUGGCCCCUUUCAAAUAUUUUCUCAUCUGCACUGAAUUUCUACCAACAAACCAACUGAUAGAUACAGACCUAAGAAAUAUUUAUUGUCAUUGAGUAAAGGUUGGUUUGGUUUUUUUUGUUUUUUGUUUUUUUUUUUACUUAAUCUGAGGCAAUUAGUUCCUGAAUAAACACAUACUAAGUAAUCUACCUCCUCAAAAGGUAAUCAGACUUGAGAAGCACUGUUCAGUUCCACCCAAGGAAAGCACAACUUGAUUAAAAUGCUUUGGAGAUUUGCUUUCAUUUCUUCCCUUUUGCCCUGGAAAACAUUUUACAACAUCCCAAUAACUUUUAUUUUCUCCCCAUGCCAAACCUGGGGCCUCUCUUGGUUGUUGCUGUCCUUUUCCCCCACCUUCCCUAAAUCUUUAACCCUGCUUCUCAUUUUUCUUUGCCUCUAAUCUAAUCACUAAUUCCUCGGUUUGGCCAAAUAGUUAAAAAUGUUAAGUGCUGCUCACAAUUCCUGCUGCCUCCCCCACGUAUCUGUCUCUGUUUAUGGAACAGGCCCUGGUUUCCUCCUGCUCUUGUUCAGCUGUAGGUCUGCAGGUCAGGAGACUGUAAAUACACACAGCGCUGCCCCAACCCAUAAAUCUGAGCAAAGGGCAGCCUUAUAUAUUCAGAUAAGGGAUGGAAGGGGAAGGAGGGGGUGGAGAGGGGGGUGGGAUGAAAAAAAAAAAAUGCAAGAAGGGAACCAGGAGCCUCUGUGGUGAGGGAGGUUCUUUGCCAGACCCCAAACCCAAGCUGCGUGCCCUGCUGGUACCUUGCAGGAUCUUCCAGCCAGGGGUGAAUCCAAAAUAUUCACCCUUCUUCCCACCCCGCCUUGUUUAUGUGUAAACCAGGACAAAAAGCGUUUCACUACCUUUGGGGCAAAGAAAUUAAACACGAGGUUUCAGUGGCUUGCUCUCCUCCAGACCUUUGUUGGUUGAUUUCCCGCCCUCCCCACCCCUGCCCCCCGUUUUAUUUCCUGCACCUCUGAAGCUUUCAAGGGAACAGUCCCCCUGUUAUUGCUUCUCAGUUCCAAGGUCUUAGAAUAAAUAACAUUGUUAUUACUCACUUCACCAAUUUCCAAGAAGAAAUAUUGCUGCAGCAAAUGCAAGCAGCACUAAUAUUUGCAAAGUGAUAAAUGGAUUGUUACAUACCUUCCCGUCUGUGUGGCCUCCAGCCAUCCUCCGGCCGGCUGCAUCCCUCCUCGGGGUGGGAGGGAGGCUGCCUUUGAACUUAGCAGGGUCCAGGCACUCGGUGCCUCACACCAGAGCCUGCCCCCAGCCCCCUCCCUCUCCCUCUGAUGGAGAGAUAAUUUUUAAUGGCCAUGCCAGGAGUGGUACCGGCACUGGGGGAGAGCAGGAGCCACGUACCAGGACCCAGCAGCCAAGUGAGGAUGCUCUUGGCACACGAGGAGUGUGUGGUGGGUUUUGGUAGUGUUGGGUGCUGCAGGGAGAGGAGUGAGAGCUUCGGGAUGUCCCCAGGAGGAAGUGCUGCUCCGCUGCCCUCCCCUGCUCCUGCUCUGCUGCUCUGGUGUGGGUACCACAUCCCCAGUGCCACGAGAGCCACCUGCUCUUCCCCAGCUUCCAGCGAGGUGAAAAGUGGACAGAAAAAGGCCUGCAGAGGAGCAAAACUAUUUUCCAAGCUCCCCCUACUCUGCCUCCAAAACAUCUCCAGUGCCUGAAUGGGAGAUGCUCCGGGUACCCGAGAUACCAGGGAUGGAGAUGCUCAGUGGAGUGAAAACUGGGAAGAUAUAUUUCCAAACACCACCAUCCUCACUGUUCAAUAAAUUUCCUUCAUCCACAUGAA